UACCUUACUCGAGAAAGGUUCUAGUACAUUACUAGUGGAAAGACUUGAGUACCUUACUCGAGAAAGGUUCUAGUACAUUACUAGUGAAAAGACUUGAGUACCUUACUCGAGAAAGGUUCUAGUACAUUACUAGUGAAAAGACUUGAGUACCUUACUCGAGAAAGGUUCUAGUACAUUACUAGUGGAAAGACUUGAGUACCUUACUCGAGAAAGGUUCUAGUACAUUACUAGUGGAAAGACUUGAGUACCUUACUCGAGAAAGGUUCUAGUACAUUACUAGUGGAAAGACUUGAGUACCUUACUCGAGAAAGGUUCUAGUACAUUGCUAGUGAAAAGACUUGGGUACCUUACUCGAGAAAGGUUCUAGUACAUUGCUAGUGAAAAGACUUAAGUACCUUACUCGAGAAAGGUUCUAGUACAUUGCUAGUGGAAAGACUUGAGUACCUUACUCGAGAAAGGUUCUAGUACAUUACUAGUGGAAAGACUUGAGUACCUUACUCGAGAAAGGUUCUAGUACAUUACUAGUGAAAAGACUUGAGUACCUUACUCGAGAAAGGUUCUAGUACAUUACUAGUGGAAAGACUUGAGUACCUUACUCGAUGAAAGGUUCUAGUACAUUACUAGUAAAAAGGCUUGAGUACCUUACUCGAUGAAAGGUUCUAGUACAUUACUAGUGGAAAGACUUGAGUACCUUACUCGAUGAAAGGUUGUAGUACAUUACUAGUAAAAAGGCUUGAGUACCUUACUCGAGAAAGGUUCUAGUACAUUACUAGUGGAAAGACUUGAGAACCUUACUCGAUGAAAGGUUCUAGUACAUUACUAGUGGAAAGACUUGAGUACCUUACUCGAUGAAAGCUACAAUUUCAUUACUAGUGGAAAGACUUGAGUACCUUACUCAAGAAAGGUUCUAGUACAUUACUAGUGGAAAGACUUGAGUACCUUACUCGAGAAAGGUUCUAGUACAUUACUAGUGGAAAGACUUGAGUACCUUACUCGAUGAAAGGUUCUAGUACAUUACUAGUGGAAAGACUUGAGUACCUUACUCGAUGAAAGCUACAAUUUCAUUACUAGUGGAAAGACUUGAGUACCUUACUCAAGAUAGGUUCUAGUACAUUACUAGUGGAAAGACUUGAGUACCUUACUCGAUGAAAGGUUCUAGUACAUUACUAGUGGAAAGACUUGGGUACCUUACUCGAGAAAGGUUCUAGUACAUUACUAGUGGAAAGACUUGAGUACCUUACUCGAUGAAAGGUUCUAGUACAUUACUAGUGGAAAGACUUGAGUACCUUACUCGAGAAAGGUUCUAGUACAUUACUAGUGGAAAGACUUGAGUACCUUACUCGAUGAAAGGUUCUAGUACAUUACUAGUGGAAAGACUUGAGUACCUUACUCGAUGAAAGCUACAAUUUCAUUACUAGUGGAAAGACUUGAGUACCUUACUCAAGAAAGGUUCUAGUACAUUACUAGUGGAAAGACUUGAGUACCUUACUCGAGAAAGGUUCUAGUACAUUACUAGUGGAAAGACUUGAGUACCUUACUCGAUGAAAGGUUCUAGUACAUUACUAGUGGAAAGACUUGAGUACCUUACUCGAUGAAAGCUACAAUUUCAUUACUAGUGGAAAGACUUGAGUACCUUACUCAAGAUAGGUUCUAGUACAUUACUAGUGGAAAGACUUGAGUACCUUACUCGAUGAAAGGUUCUAGUACAUUACUAGUGGAAAGACUUGGGUACCUUACUCGAGAAAGGUUCUAGUACAUUACUAGUGGAAAGACUUGAGUACCUUACUCGAUGAAAGGUUCUAGUACAUUACUAGUGGAAAGACUUGAGUACCUUACUCGAGAAAGGUUCUAGUACAUUACUAGUGGAAAGACUUGAGUACCUUACUCGAUGAAAGGUUCUAGUACAUUACUAGUGGAAAGACUUG